UAAUGAGAGAGAUCAAUCAAUGGUCAAUACCUUAACAAAACAAGGGAGGCACCCUUAAAUAAUUGUGCUAUUCACUAUUUAGCGGUGCUUAUUAAGUUGUGAUUUUUUUGUUUUUAUUUUAAAAGUAUGAGACCCAGUCUGUGCAGCUCCGAUGUGUCACUGGACAGCUACCAACCACUAAUCUACUAAAAAAAGUCCAAAAAAAGUCUUAGAAAUAGAAGCUGGUCAAAGUUAUGGAAAGACCGCUCCAGCGCAGAAGAGAGAUGAUGCUGUGAUCCUUUCCCUGAUGCAGAGGUUCUUCGAAAAAGCAAAGCCAGAGACAAGGGCUUUCAGGCCUCUCGGGUCCCUCCCAGGGCGCUGAGGUGCAAGCCAGCUCCAGGCCACAAGACGCACCACGGCUCAUCCUCUGCAACCUGGUAUUGGGGUCCUGGGGAUCCUGUAGCCGCAGCUUCCUGGCCUCCUGUGAGCACUCGUU